rnacentral:rRNA from 1 species
AUUGAACGCUGGCGGCAGGCUUAACACAUGCAAGUCGAGCGGGGAAGGGUAGCUUGCUACCUAACCUAGCGGCGGACGGGUGAGUAAUGCUUAGGAAUCUGCCUAUUAGUGGGGGACGACAUCCCGAAAGGAAUGCUAAUACCGCAUACGCCCUACGGGGGAAAGCAGGGGAUCUUCGGACCUUGCGCUAAUAGAUGAGCCUAAGUCGGAUUAGCUAGUUGGUGGGGUAAAGGCCUACCAAGGCGACGAUCUGUAGCGGGUCUGAGAGGAUGAUCCGCCACACUGGGACUGAGACACGGCCCAGACUCCUACGGGAGGCAGCAGUGGGGAAUAUUGGACAAUGGGGGGAACCCUGAUCCAGCCAUGCCGCGUGUGUGAAGAAGGCCUUAUGGUUGUAAAGCACUUUAAGCGAGGAGGAGGCUACUGAGACUAAUACUCUUGGAUAGUGGACGUUACUCGCAGAAUAAGCACCGGCUAACUCUGUGCCAGCAGCCGCGGUAAGAC